CCCCCAGUAGCGGCGAGCGAACGGGGAGCAGCCCAGAGCCUGAAUCAGUGUGUGUGUUAGUGGAAGCGUCUGGAAAGGCGCGCGAUACAGGGUGACAGCCCCGUACACAAAAAUGCACAUGCUGUGAGCUCGAUGAGUAGGGCGGGACACGUGGUAUCCUGUCUGAAUAUGGGGGGACCAUCCUCCAAGGCUAAAUACUCCUGACUGACCGAUAGUGAACCAGUACCGUGAGGGAAAGGCGAAAAGAACCCCGGCGAGGGGAGUGAAAAAGAACCUGAAACCGUGUACGUACAAGCAGUGGGAGCCUCUUUAUGGGGUGACUGCGUACCUUUUGUAUAAUGGGUCAGCGACUUAUAUUCUGUAGCAAGGUUAACCGAAUAGGGGAGCCGAAGGGAAACCGAGUCUUAACUGGGCGUUAAGUUGCAGGGUAUAGACCCGAAACCCGGUGAUCUAGCCAUGGGCAGGUUGAAGGUUGGGUAACACUAACUGGAGGACCGAACCGACUAAUGUUGAAAAAUUAGCGGAUGACUUGUGGCUGGGGGUGAAAGGCCAAUCAAACCGGGAGAUAGCUGGUUCUCCCCGAAAGCU
rnacentral:rRNA from 1 species